rnacentral:miRNA from 1 species
CUUUAGUACCCUGUGAUUUAAAGU